rnacentral:rRNA from 1 species
UACGUAGGGGGCGAGCGUUGUCCGGAUUUAUUGGGCGUAAAGAGCUCGUAGGCGGUUUGGUAAGUUGGAUGUGAAAUCUCCAGGCUCAACUUGGAGGGGUCAUUCGAUACUGCCAUGACUAGAGUUCGGUAGGGGAGUGUGGAAUUCCUGGUGGAGCGGUGAAAUGCGCAGAGUAUCAGGAGGAACACCCGUAGCGAAGGCGGCACUCUGGGCCGGAACUGACGCUGAGGAGCGAAAGCGUGGGGAGCGAACAGG